rnacentral:lncRNA from 1 species
GGAAUUUCAGCAAUAGUAGGUUUUCCUUUUGCUGUUUUUCAAAUGAAACUCACAUAUCUAUUUUUCUCAAAGACAGCUCUUUAGAGAAUAAUGACAGAGUCUGGAAAUCUUGCAUGGUCCGAGAGGUAAUUCUCUAAGUGAUCUGUAUGGGGAGAGUGAGAAGAUGUGCAUUUCUUCUGAAAAUGUCAGAAUCACUAAUAUAGACAAAGAAAGUUUUGUAAGUGCCAGAGGAAC